rnacentral:rRNA from 1 species
CCUACGGGAGGCUGCAGUGAGGAAUAUUGGUCAAUGGACGCAAGUCUGAACCAGCCAUGCCGCGUGCAGGAAGACGGCGCUAUGAGUUGUAAACUGCUUUUGUACGGGGGUAAACGCAGAUACGCGUAUCUGUCUGAAAGUAUCGGGCGAAUAAGCAUCGGCUAACUCCGUGCCAGCAGCCGCGGUAAUACGGAGGAUUCAAGCGUUAUCCGGAUUUAUUGGGUUUAAAGGGUGCGUAGGCGGUCGGUUAAGUUAGAGGUGAAAUCCCGAGGCUCAACUUCGGAAGUGCCUCUGAUACUGGUCGGCUAGAGUGUAGCUGCGGUAGGCGGAAUGCGUGGUGUAGCGGUGAAAUGCUUAGAGAUCGUACAGAACACCGAUUGCGAAGGCAGCUUACCAAGCUAUUUCUGACGUUGAGGCACGAAAGCGUGGGGAGCAAACAGGAUUAGAUACCCUAGUAGUC